rnacentral:pre_miRNA from 1 species
CAUGCACCAGUGGGGUCCCUUGGCCUGGCCUGUGGGAUCUGGCCAGAACCGGCUGUCCAGCAUCCCCCGAGAGAUCCUGGAUUGCGAGAGGGUGCAGGCCAGGCCGAGGGACCCCACCGGUGCAUG